rnacentral:rRNA from 1 species
AACGAACGCUGGCGGCAUGCCUAACACAUGCAAGUCGAACGAGACCUUCGGGUCUAGUGGCGCACGGGUGCGUAACGCGUGGGAACCUGCCUUUAGGUUCGGAAUAACUCGGAGAAAUUUGAGCUAAUACCGGAUGAUGUCUUCGGACCAAAGAUUUAUCGCCUUUAGAUGGGCCCGCGUUGGAUUAGCUAGUUGGUGGGGUAAAGGCCUACCAAGGCGACGAUCCAUAGCUGGUCCGAGAGGAUGAUCAGCCACACUGGGACUGAGACACGGCCCAGACUCCUACGGGAGGCAGCAGUGGGGAAUAUUGGACAAUGGGCGAAAGCCUGAUCCAGCAAUGCCGCGUGAGUGAUGAAGGCCUUAGGGUUGUAAAGCUCUUUUACCCGAGAUGAUAAUGACAGUAUCGGGAGAAUAAGCUCCGGCUAACUCCGUG